CUUGUGUAUCGGCACCCACCAUCGAACCGUCCCAAGCUUCGCCCGUGUGCUCGCCGGUCAUCCCUGUCAUCCAGUCUCGCCUCGGUUACCCCAGACUUCCCUUUGCUUGAUUCUCCACACCCACAUGUAGUAUUGUGUGUGUGUGUGUGUGUGUGUGUGUGUGUUAGUCCUGGAGCUUGAACUCAGGGCCUGGGCACCGUCCUGGAGCUUUUUUAAAGCUCAGGGCUAGCGUUCUACCACUUGAGCCACAGCUCCACUUUCCGCUCUUUUUUGAGUAGUUAAUUGGAGAGAAGAGUCUCAC